AACAAAUCAAACACUGAUCAUGCCUUUCCUCUGCAAACAAUGCUUCAAGUUAACAAAUACUGUGGAAAAAUUCUUUACAGUAGAACUAUCAUUCAGAAGACAUAAGAAAAUUAAGAAAGUCAACAUUUUGCAAUCUUUCAGGAAAUAAUAGAUCUGGUCAAAAAUCAUCAGUGGCUGCUAAAACUACUAGGUAAAAGUUGAUGGGGAACUUUAUGAUAGAUAGAUUAGACUGGCAUUCCUUGAACCCAUUGAUUAAGCUUCCCAUCAUUCAAAGUGGAGCAACCAGGUCUGAUGCCUCUUAUUCUAACACUGCACCAUCCAUAAAAUAUUAUUGCAAAGAAAAAGUUUUUUAAAACAAAAUAUGAUGUUAAGUAAGCCUCUAGGCCUAACUACCAGUUUAAUGGAAAGCAUUUAAAGAGCCACACAUUAAACAACACUACGAUGUGACACACUGUUUUCUGUUUUUGUUUUUUUGUUGAACAGCUUUACUGAGGUAUAAUUGAUACACAAAAAACCCUGCGAAUAUUUAAUGUAUAUAAUUUGACUAGUUUGGACAUAUGCAUACACCUGCGAACCCAUCACUGCAAUCAAGGUGAUAAACAUAUCCAUCACCUCCGAAAGUCUCCUCAUACCCCUUUGUUUGUUUUUGAUUCACCCUGAGCUAACGUCUGUGCCACUCCUUCUCCACUUUGCAUGUGGGACACUGCCACAGCAUGGCUGAUGAGCGGAGUUUGUCCACAGCCAGGAUCCAAACCCAAGAACCCUGGUCGCCGAAGCAGAGUGCAUGGAACUGUAACCAUUCAGCCACAGGCCUGGCCCCUGAUAUAAUCUUUUGACAAAGUCACACACAGCUAAAUAACACACUUGUCUCAGCCAUAAUCUCAGAGUUCCAGCAACCUCUUUGAAUUACCAAUUAUAUUCAUUAUGUGACAUGUAAUUUAAUAAAUAGAGACUCUCUCUUUAGUAUUCGUUAUCUUGUUCAUAGUGCUACUCUCUCAGAUUAUGCUUUUAUUUAAAUAAUACCAAUUAAACUUUUAAAAAUUCAGUACUGUGAUAAAUUUUAAACAAUCCAUAUAAUAAUACAAAUUAAUAAGCCAAUAUUAAAAUGUAUCCCCAUUGUUAUCUAAAUUGUUUCAAAUUUUUAUAAAUUCAGUAUCUCUAUUAUUGACUGAGUCAUGAAAUAAUUUAUUGAAAUAUUUAAUAAGCUUAAUUUUUUUGUUUUCUCCCACUUCAGUGAACAUAGUUUAGCAAAUUUAUUUGGACAAUUUUCAGGAUUCAAUAAAUUAUAAAGUUUUGUUCUUCAGUUAUCAAAACAACAAUUGCAUUUCAUAUAGUUAGUGGACACUCUGCUAAUGUCUAUUAAAAUGAUAUUUUAUUUUGCUUUAUUUUAAAUAAUAGGAUUUUUUUUACAUUACUAUGAUAUCACUUGCUUCACUUUCACAUUUUCCUUUACUUAAUUUUAUAUGUUCAGCCAUUUCUACAUUUGUUUAUUGCUGUCAGCUUUGGUAGCUGGGUAUAUUUUUGUUGUAAAGCUAAAGACUCUAUUGAAUCUCUAUUAGACUAUCAGUUACUGAAGCCAAGUCUCUAUAAAUAUUUCAUUUUACAAUUAUUUAAAUACCCCAUUUCACAAUUUUUAUUAAAUGCCUAGACAAGGUUUUUAUAGUGUUGGCAUCAAACACUGUCUGUUGAAGUCGAAAUAUUCUUCCAAUUUCCAUUAUUUUACUCUAAGAUCUUAGGAUACAUUUUGAUUUGACUUGAUAAGACACAAUUUGAUCCUCACUAAAAUUUGUUUGAUGUAUGGAAGUAAAUAAAAGUUUAUCAAGAAAAUAUUUAAAGUGAUGUCCAUCAUCUGGGGAUAAUUGAGUACAAGGACCGACACAGUGCUGAAUUAAAACAUCUGGACUUUUUUCUAGAGUUUUUCCUGGAACUCUCAACUUUCUCCCAGCAUUCCUCUAACAUCAUCUGUAUAAAAUUCAAAGAGAUUUUCAUCUAUCUCAUCAAAACUAUUUUUCAAGAAAUAAUAAAAUUAGAUGUUAUGUUAGCUGUUGUUCUUUCUAGCUCUGAGAUCAACAAAAGUACUAAACUAUAUGUUAAAUCAUAAACUUCAGAUUUUAAGUAAAUUUUUAAAACAUUUUUAUGUGAGACAGUUGAAGCUUCAUUAAUAAUUUAAAAUUUUGAAAUUCAAUUGCCUUGAUCUAUGUUUUCUGAAAAAUGUUACCUCAUUUCUGUUUUAUACCCGGAGGGACCAUAAAUCUAGACUGCGAUCUUAUACUCAUUUUGAUACUAUUUGUUUCUUGAAGGUCUAUUAAAUCAUUUAUGUCUGAAAAUGCUUGAUUGUUUCUAACUACGGUAUUAAAA
rnacentral:lncRNA from 1 species